AGAGUUUACUAAAAGCAUUAUUAGGGACAAGCAUGUUUCUUAUUCUCAUGGAACAUAAAUUAUUAUGGAAGAAACAAACAAUAAAUUAUUAAUUACUAGUAAGUAAGUUACAGUAUUACAAACUGCAAUGAGAACCAAAGAGGUGGAAGAAGCCAUAGAGCAUAUGAAGUCUGAGGGAGAGUAGAGAAGAUGUGGAGAACAGCCCAAGCAAAGACCCUGAGCUGAGCAAGGGUCGGGGACCUUUCCAAGAAGUGAGGCUAAUUUGACUUCUGCUUUUAAGCAGGUUGGAGGCCAAUAUGCUGUUAAAACAAAAAGAAAAGCCAGACAUAUUUUUAAGUGUAUCUAUUAAGGCGUAAAAGGCUAUAGAAGCAACAAGGACUAAAGGGGAUAACAUUUCAGAAAAGGGACUUUCAAGAGGUGAGCUGGUGAUUUGCCUCUGCCCCUGGGGACACAUGGAGUUCCCUGGUGGCUCAGAUGGUAAAGCGUCUGCCUACAAUGCAAGAGACCGGGGUUCGACCCCUGGGUUGGGAAUAUCCCCUGGAGAAGGAAAUGGCAACCCAUUCCAGUACUCUUGCCUGGAGAAAUCCAUGGAUGGAGGAGCCUGGUGGGCUACAGUCCAUGGGGCCGCAAAGAGUCGGACACAACUGAGCGACUUCACAUUCACAUGCUGGGGACACAUGCUGAUCCUCAGCAUCUACUACAGACCAAGAAUCAGGGCAAAGACAGGCAGCGCACCAAUGCUGGGGCACAGAGGAGUGUGGGAUCAUUUGGUUGUGCAGAAUGGAGUGAUAAAUGGAGAAGUAAAUGGCUUGAGGCAUUUGGCCACUUUCUCUCUCAAAAUACUGACAUUCCAGAGAUGUGAAACAGGAGGUUAAAACAUUAAGCUGAGUCUUAGAAAAGCAGAGGGAUUUCUUGCAGUCUCCCAGUGCUUAGGAGCACAAGAUCUGGGAAGAAAAGACCAAGUAGGAGUCAGGAACCCUUGAGGAAGUGAUGAGAUGACCCUGGCAACUUCUUAACACAUUUUAUAUGGGAGCAUGUACCUAUAUGGAGUUUCCCUGGUAGCUCAGCUGGUAAAGAAUCUGCCUACAAUGGAGGAGAUCUGAGUUUGAUCCCUGGGUUGGGAAGAUCCCCAGGAGAAGGGAUAGGCCACCCACUCCAGUGUUCUUGGGCUUCCUUGGUGGCACAGACAGUAAAGAAUCCACCUGCAGUGUGGGAGACCUGGGUUCAAUCCCUGGGUUGGGAAGAUUCCCUGGAGGAGGGCAUGGCAACCCACUCCAAUAUCCAUGCUUGGAGAAUCCCCAUGGACAGAGAAGCCUGGAGGGCUGCAGUCCAUGGAGUCACAAAUAGUGAGACAAAACUGAGAGAUUAAGCAUAGCACAGCACAUGUACCUAUAUAGGAACAUCAGCACUUCUAAAGGCUGAAAAUCCAGGCUGGUUCCUGGAAAAGAGUCACAGAUGAGGUAAAGAAAAGCCAGCAGGACUUUUGGCAGUCCUGUAGACUAGGAGUGACAAAAAUGGAGAUUUAUGGACUUCAGUACUGAGUAAGUCUCUCCCUCAAGGCAUCUGCCAACUGAAACUUCAUAGGGUGGCAGGCUAAAGAGCUAAGUCAAAAACCUCUCAGUGUGUGUGCUCUUUUGCAACCCCGUGGACUAUAGCCCACCAGGCUUCUCUUCUCAUGGGAUUUUCCAGGCAAGAAUACUGGAGUGGUUUACCAUUUCCUCCUCCAGGGGAUCUUCCUGACCCAGGGAUCAAACUUGCAUCUCCUGCCUUGCCAGGUGGAUUCUUUGCCACUGAGCCACCUGGGAAGACCAUGCAAGCCACUGCUGCUGCUGCUGCUAAGUCGCUUCAGUCGUGUCCGACUCAGUGCGACCCCAGAGACGGCAGCCCACCAGGCUCCCCCGUCCCUGGGGUUCUCCAGGCAAGAGUACUGGAGUGCGGUGCCAUCGCCUUCUCCAUGCAAGCCACUAAAAAGGCCUAAAAUUAGAUUGAGGUGAUGGCUGCACAACUCUGUGCACUAAAACACUAAAAACUGAAAACACUAAAUUCCAUUGUACAUUUAACAUGGGUGAAUUUUAUAGCUUAAAAAAGCUGUUAAAUAAAAACCUGUCAAAAUCAGAGUUGAAGUGUCACACCAUCAGUUCAGUUCAGUUCAGUCACUCAGUGGUUGUCCGACUCUUUGCAACUGCAUGAAUCACAGCACGCCAGGCCUCCCUGUCCAUCACCAACUCCCGGAGUUCACCCAAACUCAUGUGCAUCAAGUCGGUGAUACCAUCCAGCCAUCUCAUCAUCUGUCAUCCCCUUCUCCUCCUGCCCCCAAUCCCUCCCAGCAUCAGAGUCUUUUCCAAUGAGUCAACUCUUCGCAUGAGGUAGCCAAAGUACUGGAGUUUCAGCUUUAGCAUCAGUCCUUCCAAAGAACACCCAGGACUGAUCUCCUUUAGAAUGGACUGGUUGGAUCUCCUUGAAGUCCAAGGGACUCACAAGAGUCUUCUCCAGCACCACAGUUCAUACCGUAUCUCUCCACUAAGGAGAUGCAAGUCCACAAGCCUCACUGGAAAAGUCCCAAAGGACCAAGUCCUAAGGACAAGCGUGACCUGGGGGUAAACCACAGUGCAACCUCAAUCGAGCUCAGCAAUGAGUGGAUUAAAGCCAUCAGUUCUGCCCUCUAUCUCCUUAACAAAGAAAAGAGAGAAAGUUCCCUGAUGAGUCGUAAUAUCAACUGGAACCUCUAAGUUUUUAAAAUAUAUAUACUGUCUGAUACUUAACUAAAAAUUACUAGACAGGAUCAUAUAAGGGUUAUACAAGGAAUAACCAAGAGGAAAAAUAGACAGUAAAUAUAGACUCUCAUGUGACCCAGACAUUGAAGUAAGGACAUGGGCACUUAAAUAAGUAUGAUUAUUAUAUUCAAGAAAAUAUUUUUAAAAUAGACAAAUAAGGCCAAUGUAGCUGGACCAUACAAGAGAAUGAAAUAUAAGAUUUAAGAUAUAAGCAGGGACUGCUCAUGCAGGCCCUUUUAGGCUAUGGUGGAAAGUCUUAAUUCUAUUCUGAGUUAUAGUUUUAAGUAAGAGAGUGAAAUAACUCAAUUUGCAUUUAAAAAAGAAGAAUCAAGGAAAUCAUCUAAGAAGCCAUAACUCUAACCCAGCUGAGAGAUGAUGGAGCUUGGACUGGUAUUGUUGUAUAAGAUAUGAAGAGAAGGAAAUAGAUUCAAGUUAUAUUUUGGAGGUAGACACUACAGGACUUGCUGGUGGUUUGAAUAUAAUUGGCCAGAGAAAUAAAGAUAGUAAAGAUCUCUCAGGUUUCUGACUUGAGCAAGAUGGGGUAGAAUGAUAAUAGAAUAGGUUAGGAAGCUGAGGGAAGUUGGGAAGCUUUCCUGAGACUACUAACUCGGUAGCAAAAGGACUAGAAUCCAAGUAUCCUGAUUUUACUCCAGUACUUUCUACCACACUAAGCUAACUUUUCUCCAGGAAUUAUUUUCAGUAGUAUGAUGUCUGUCUGUUUUACAUGGACGGAGAAAAAACAUUUUGUGUUAAGAAGUCCAGUUUCCAGGUAGUCAAAUAUCAGUUUUGAGGCUUUAAACAUGGGUGACAAAUGCCAGUGCUUUCAGAGGCAGGGCAUAAGAUGGGUAAAGAUCAGGGUUUUUGCUAAUAGAGAAUGGGGUGUGGGAUCUUUUGAUGAACCUGCAGCAUAUACACCAUCUACUGUCAUUCAAAUACAAUUUUUAAAAUAUUUUAAUUACUCUCCUGCCAAUUAAAACAUAUUUAUAAGCAGUUUACUAACUCCUGCUAAUUAGAUGCAAAUGUGUUUGGAAACACCUUUGCUUUUUGAACAUGAGCAAAAAGAUAGAAGAGCUCAGUGCAAGGACUCUACUCUCAUAUAGCCACUUAUUGGAAAUGGCAACAUGCUCCUAGAUGCCUGAAUGUUUUUAUGUAAAAUAGAAGUCUAAAGUUUAUUCCAUAAACAAAUAACUAAAAGAAUAAACCAAUCAUGAUAAUGUAUUGAGAUCCAGCAAUCAUGAUGCUUCUAAUCUUUUACAACAAAAAUUCAAAUAAAUUAACUGGAUUAUCUUGCCUGAUGCACUUAUUGUCUCCUUGAGAUAUGAUGCCAGGAAACUUCAACCUCAUCACUUAGGAACAGAAAACAGAAAGAGGGAGAAAAGCAUGUUUAUUACAUAGAAGCUGCCAGUGAUGUACUAACAUAAGGGAAUUCAAUAAAAAAGCAGUGGGGAAAAAUUGUGACAUAGAAAGCCCUAGUUUAUGUCUAUUUCAAGAAAUUUCUUAAAGUUUUAAGAAAAUGUUUAAUUUUUAUGUUUCAAUUUAGAAGGCAUUCAGCUGAAAUGUUUCUUGCCAGUUUUGUAAUUUCUAAAGUCAUUAAUAUAGAACCACAUUUGGCAGAAUAUCAGGGGAGUGUGUUUUUUGACAAAAUGCCUGAAUGUCUUUUACAUGCUUAUUUUCUGAAAAUGUAUUCAAUGAAAGGACAAAAAUUCAAUUCAUUAUAUAAUACACAAAGCAAAAUAAUUCAAUACCAAUGAACUAUCUUGAAGAUGUAAGACCCGCAGGAUUGUCACUAUCAAGUGAAUAUUUUAGAAUUUUUAUUUCACUUUGCAUCUGUUUUUUCAUAACAUGUUAUCUUUUAGGGGAAAGACAAUCUCUCAAGAUAUCUGUUGUGACUUGAUUAAUUUAUUUCCUUCCACUCCUUAAUAAAAUUGGGCUAUUUGAUCUAUUUCUUCUGCUAUUUUUCUAUAAACAAAAUAGUUUAUAUUUUAAAUAGCUUUAAUAUAACUAUAUAAACAUAGCUAUUUCCCUUCAUUGGCUUCCAAAAAUGUAUGAAUGCACAUCAAAAGUAGUGUUGUGCAUGUAGAAAAUCAAAUGCUGUCUUUAGAACAGUUUGUAUUUUUUAAAAAAGUAGGCUUUUAG
ensembl:lncRNA